rnacentral:rRNA from 1 species
AUACGGAGGGUGCAAGCGUUAAUCGGAAUUACUGGGCGUAAAGCGCACGCAGGCGGUUUGUUAAGUCAGAUGUGAAAUCCCCCGGGCUCAACCUGGGAACUGCAUCUGAUACUGGCAAGCUUGAGUCUCGUAGAGGGGGGUAGAAUUCCAGGUGUAGCGGUGAAAUGCGUAGAGAUCUGGAGGAAUACCGGUGGCGAAGGCGGCCCCCUGGACGAAGACUGACGCUCAGGUGCGAAAGCGUGGGGAGC